rnacentral:rRNA from 1 species
GAUGAACGCUAGCUACAGGCUUAACACAUGCAAGUCGAGGGGCAUCAGGAACAAAGCUUGCUUUGUUUGCUGGCGACCGGCGCACGGGUGAGUAACGCGUAUCCGACCUACCCAUAACACGGGCACAGCCGCUCGAAAGAGUGAUUGAUUCCCGAUAUGUCAUAUAAGUCUAUUAUAUGAUGAAAGAUUUAUCGGUUAUGGAUGGGGAUGCGUAAGAUUAGGUAGUAGGCGGGGUAACGGCCCACCUAGCCGACGAUCUUUAGGGGUUCUGAGAGGAAGGUCCCCCACACUGGUACUGAGACACGGACCAGACUCCUACGGGAGGCAGCAGUGAGGAAUAUUGGUCAAUGGUCGAGAGACUGAACCAGCCAAGUAGCGUGAAGGAUGACUGCCCUACGGGUUGUAAACUUCUUUUGUUUGGGAAUAAAUGAUACUACGUGUAGUAUUUUGCAUGUACCUUACGAAUAAGCAUCGGCUAAUUCCGUGCCAGCAGCC